GAGUUUGAUCAUGGCUCAGGACGAACGCUGGCGGCGUGCCUAAUACAUGCAAGUCGAACGGUCUUUUCUAUGGAAGCUUGCUUCCACUGAGAAGAUAGUGGCGAACGGGUGAGUAACACGUGGGUAACCUGCCCAUAAGAGGGGGAUAACAUCCGGAAACGGGUGCUAAUACCGCAUAGUUUUCUUGAUCGCAUGAUCGGGAAAGGAAAGACGGCCUUUGUGCUGUCGCUUAUGGAUGGACCCGCGGCGUAUUAGUUAGUUGGUGAGGUAACGGCUCACCAAGACGAUGAUACGUAGCCGACCUGAGAGGGUGAUCGGCCACAUUGGGACUGAGACACGGCCCAAACUCCUACGGGAGGCAGCAGUAGGGAAUCUUCCGCAAUGGACGAAAGUCUGACGGAGCAACGCCGCGUGAGUGAAGAAGGUUUUCGGAUCGUAAAACUCUGUUGUCAGAGAAGAACAAGUUGGAGAGUAACUGCUCCAGCCUUGACGGUAUCUGACCAGAAAGCCACGGCUAACUACGUGCCAGCAGCCGCGGUAAUACGUAGGUGGCAAGCGUUGUCCGGAUUUAUUGGGCGUAAAGCGAGCGCAGGCGGUUCCUUAAGUCUGAUGUGAAAGCCCACGGCUCAACCGUGGAAGGUCAUUGGAAACUGGGGAACUUGAGUGCAGAAGAGGAGAGUGGAAUUCCAUGUGUAGCGGUGAAAUGCGUAGAUAUAUGGAGGAACACCAGUGGCGAAGGCGACUCUCUGGUCUGUAACUGACGCUGAGGCUCGAAAGCGUGGGGAGCAAACAGGAUUAGAUACCCUGGUAGUCCACGCCGUAAACGAUGAGUGCUAAGUGUUGGAGGGUUUCCACCCUUCAGUGC
rnacentral:rRNA from 1 species